rnacentral:rRNA from 1 species
GCGGGGGGGCGGCUACCAUGCAAGUCGAGCGGCAGCGGGAGGUGCUUGCACCUCGCCGGCGAGCGGCGGACGGGUGAGUAAUGCAUAGGAAUCUGCCCGGUAGUGGGGGAUAACCUGGGGAAACCCAGGCUAAUACCGCAUACGUCCUACGGGAGAAAGCAGGGGAUCUUCGGACCUUGCGCUAUCGGAUGAGCCUAUGCCGGAUUAGCUAGUUGGUAGGGUAACGGCCUACCAAGGCGACGAUCCGUAGCUGGUCUGAGAGGAUGAUCAGCCACACUGGGACUGAGACACGGCCCAGACUCCUACGGGAGGCAGCAGUGGGGAAUAUUGGACAAUGGGCGCAAGCCUGAUCCAGCCAUGCCGCGUGUGUGAAGAAGGCUUUCGGGUUGUAAAGCACUUUCAGUGGGGAAGAAGGCCUGUCGGUUAAUACCCGGCAGGGACGACAUCACCCACAGAAGAAGCACCGGCUAACUCCGUGCCAGCAGCCGCGGUAAUACGGAGGGUGCGAGCGUUAAUCGGAAUUACUGGGCGUAAAGCGCGCGUAGGCGGCGUGAUAAGCCGGUUGUGAAAGCCCCGGGCUCAACCUGGGAACGGCAUCCGGAACUGUCGCGCUAGAGUGCAGGAGAGGAAGGUAGAAUUCCCGGUGUAGCGGUGAAAUGCGUAGAGAUCGGGAGGAAUACCAGUGGCGAAGGCGGCCUUCUGGACUGACACUGACGCUGAGGUGCGAAAGCGUGGGUAGCAAACAGGAUUAGAUACCCUGGUAGUCCACGCCGUAAACGAUGUCGACUAGCCGUUGGGCGCCUCGAGUGCUUAGUGGCGAAGUUAACGCGAUAAGUCGACCGCCUGGGGAGUACGGCCGCAAGGUUAAAACUCAAAUGAAUUGACGGGGGCCCGCACAAGCGGUGGAGCAUGUGGUUUAAUUCGAUGCAACGCGAAGAACCUUACCUACCCUUGACAUCCUCGGAAUCCGCCAGAGAUGGUGGAGUGCCUUCGGGAGCCGAGUGACAGUGCUGCAUGGCUGUCGUCAGCUCGUGUUGUGAAAUGUUGGGUUAAGUCCCGUAACGAGCGCAACCCUUGUCCCUAUUUGCCAGCGAUUCGGUCGGAACUCUAGGAGACUGCCGGUGACAACCGAGAGGUGGGGACGACGUCAGUCAUCAUGCCCUACGGGUAGGCUAACCCACGUGCUACAUUGCCAGUACAAGGUCGCAAGGACGGCGACGUGGAGCUAUCCAAGAAAGCUGGCCUUCAGUUCCUA